GUUUAUUUCUUAGUGGGUCUUUGCGCUUCCUGGCAAGCUCUUGCUUACUUUGUUUUGGUCAUAUGGGUCAUCGUCUUGAUGGCAAAUUCAUUUGUUAUGUUCUUGAGCUCUCUUGCUCCAAAUUAUAUAGCUGGAAGCUCGCUAGUGACGAUACUUCUAGGCGCUUUCUUUCUCUUCUCCGGCUAUUUCAUUUCACAAGAUAGCAUGCCCAAGUACUGGCUCUUCAUGCAUUUUUUGUCCAUGUACAAGUAUGCUCUUGAUGCUCUUCUCAUCAACAUCAAUGAGUAUUCUUGCCUUGUAAAUAAGUGUUUUCUGUGGUAUGAAGAGACAAAUACGUGUAUGGUGACCGGAGGUGAUGUGUUGCAGAAGAGAGGGCUCCAUGAGAGGCAUAGGUGGAGUAACAUCUACAUUUUGAUUGGAUUCUUCGUCUUCUACCGUGUGCUUUGUUUGCUAGUCUUGAUCAGAAGGGUUUCAAGAUCCAAAAU
rnacentral:misc_RNA from 1 species